UGUCCCUGAAUGACAUUUUGGCUCAAAUUUGCUCUAACUGCUGUUUCUUCUCUGGUUAUUAAAUUGUGUGCAAUGCCCACCCCCUCUCUCUCUCUCUCUCCCUCCCUCCCUCUGCAAACAGCUGCCUCAUUCACCUUCCGUCACAAUACCAUUGGACAUCUUGGGUUCCAGAUGUGUGACCUCCUGGGAAGCAGGUGGCUGUUGAACUUGGUGGUCUUUCCCAAGGAUGGGGCAGAGGGGGUCACCCUGGAGUUCGAGGAGCGCCGAGCCGUGAUGAGCUGUGCUGUGCUGGGUCUGUCUCCAUUUGGCAUGUAGCGGGAACCAUGGCUUUGGAAUGUUCUGCUUCUACCUGGACUCAGUUGUGGGAAUGUCCUCAAGCCUCGGAUUUGUGUCGUCAGGGAUCCGCAGACAAGCGAGUUAGUUUCUCCUUCCAAGCGGAAGGUGGUUGCAAGAGUGUAGUUCCUGAUGGGGUGCCAGAGUGGACCCCCAAGGACACUUGCCGUGGGAAGAGGCUCCCUGUAGAGGGCAGAUGUAGCCCUGACGUUCCCAGCCACGUGGCCACUCUUCAUCUCACCCUUCCCCUUUCUACAUGGAGAAAACAGUGGUACUACCAACCUCAGAGCUGUUAAUAUCGACAACUUGGACUUCGUGAGUGACACAUGGUGCCUGCACGGUGCUCUCACAACCCGUGAGCUCGCUGCCAGCGAAGGGAGCUACCCUCUGGGGAUGCAGACCUGCUACAAGCAAGAUGCACUGCACACCAGGUACCCAGCACACCCAUCCUGGUGCUCCACGCUCAGAAACAAAAGAAGGAUGAAGGCCCAAUGGACACACAAAGAAGACCAAGCUGCAUGAGAAAUAAAUAUGAGAAGAAUCAACCCCAUAGGGAAAAUAAAUAUUUCAGAGCAGAAGAUAAUUCCUCAAAGUAUUAACUGGUGUCUUCAGAGAAAUGAAAAGUUAUGGAGUCUGUAAUAAUAAAAAAAGUUGCUAUGAAAAAGGAAUUACAUGCCAAAGAAGGAAGUUCAGAAAAAAAUUAAACAUGAUCUUUUAAAUAAACAUUUUAAUAGGCUGG